UACGAAGGGGGCUAGCGUUGCUCGGAAUUACUGGGCGUAAAGCGCACGUAGGCGGCUUUCUAAGUCGGGGGUGAAAUCCUGGAGCUCAACUCCAGAACUGCCUUCGAUACUGGAAAGCUCGAGUCCGGGAGAGGUGAGUGGAACUCCGAGUGUAGAGGUGAAAUUCGUAGAUAUUCGGAAGAACACCAGUGGCGAAGGCGGCUCACUGGCCCGGUACUGACGCUGAUGUGCGAAAGCGUGGGGAGCAAACAGG
rnacentral:rRNA from 1 species